CCUACGGGGAGCAGCAGUGAGGAAUAUUGGUCAAUGGGCGCGAGCCUGAACCAGCCAAGUCGCGUGAGGGAAGACGGUCCUAUGGAUUGUAAACCUCUUUUGUCGGGGAGCAAAAGACGCCACGCGUGGCGUUCCGAGAGUACCCGAAGAAAAAGCGUCGGCUAACUCCGUGCCAGCAGCCGCGGUAAUACGGAGGAUGCGAGCGUUAUCCGGAUUUAUUGGGUUUAAAGGGUGCGCAGGCGGAAGAUCAAGUCAUCGGUAAAAUGGAGGGGCUCAACCCCUUCGAGCCGUUGAAACUGGUUUUCUUGAGUGAGUGAGAAGUAUGCGGAAUGCGUGGUGUAGCGGUGAACUGCAUAGAUAUCACGCAGAACUCCGAUUGCGAAGGCAGCAUACCGGCGCUCAACUGACGCUCAUGCACGAAAGUGUGGGUAUCGAACAGGAUUAGAUACCCCUGUAGUC
rnacentral:rRNA from 1 species